CUACUAACGGCGAGUGAACCAGACACAGCUCAAAUUUGAACCCUGGCGCAAGCCCGAGUUGUAAUUUGUAGAGCAAAGCGCCCGCGACGUGCCUUCCGAGUUCCCUGGAACGGGACGCCAUAGAGGGUGAGAGCCCCGUACGGUUGGAUGCCUAGACUCUGUGCAACUCCUUCCACGCGGACAGUUGUUUGGGA
rnacentral:rRNA from 1 species